AUUGCGAAGACAGGACUAGGAGGAUGCAGUCAUUUUUUAAAAACCUGAUCUUUCUGGACCUAACUCCAGAACAGGUAUCGGCCUUGAAUGUUCCCCUAACAGUCCAAGAAAUACUUGACGCAAUCAGGCAACUUCAGAGCGGUUUUGCCCUGGCAAUCUGAUUUAUCCAAGAUUACAAUGGUGGGAUUGUGUCAACACUGGUGCCAGAGUCCACUUGCCAACCAACUUUCUUCUCAUGCAGCAUAAGUGCUUUUUCAGGCCCCCUGGCUCAGAGAUAGGGACACCGCCACCAUGCCACAAGAGCCCAUUGUCAUCAGUGCAUACAUGAAGAAACUUGCACAAAAGAGAAUUUUACCCACUAAGCUGGUCAGCUUGGUCCCACACUUCCGUGGCAAACAGGAAAUUAGAUGUAACUUGAACAUAACUAGCUGCCAUCUGGUGGAUUCUCUG